AUUGACUUUCAGGGAAGUAGAUUUGCAUCCAGACUCAGGAAGUAGACAGGCCAGUAAUUACGAAGCAAAAAUAAUCUGUAACUUGCGGAAAUUCGAGGUAUGAAUAGUGUUCUAUCUCUCAGAUAGAGGGGUAUUAUCUGGUUGUUGUCUUUCAGUCAGAGAUAAAACACCCUUGGGUAAAUUUAAGGAGGGUGACUUAAAAGACAAUUUCCCUCCAGAAAUUCUGCAGAAAAGAAUUCUCUUAAAAAAAAAAAUAAAGGUGUAGAGGGUUAGGUCGUGGGGUUUUGAGAAUUCAAAAGAGCGAGGAAGAGAAAAAAGGAAACUAUUUCCAGUUACUAGUAGAAACAUCAACCCAGGGGCCAGGUGUGGUGGCUUUUAUAUAAGCAACACUCCUGUCUAUACAAAGCUGGUUGUUUUUGUAACACUGUGAGAGUCAAGUGUGCUUCUGGGUUUCGACCCUGAAGGUAGGUGUGACCCUGACUCCCUUUUGACAGGCCCCCUGUCCCACUCAUCCCAUCUCUUGCCUAUUUUGCUUUCAGUAAAUC
rnacentral:lncRNA from 1 species